GUACACACCGCCCGUCACACCAUGGGAGUGGGUUGCACCAGAAGCCGGUAGUCUAACCUUCGGGAGGGCGCCGACCACGGURUGAUUYAUGAYUGGGGUGAAGUCGUAACAAGGUAGCYGUAGGUGAACCUGCAGAAGGAUCA
rnacentral:rRNA from 1 species